AAUCAGGCUUAUAAAUAUUUACUUUAAAAAAUAUUAGAAUCUCCAACUGCAUGCCAGAGUAACGGAGAGACUUUGACAGCCCAGGUUAUCACAGUGCCUGCUGUUGCCACUCAGCUCUCCUAUAUGU
ensembl:snoRNA LOC120102634 small nucleolar RNA SNORA44